rnacentral:rRNA from 1 species
GCUUCUUUGCUGACGAGUGGCGGACGGGUGAGUAAUGUCUGGGAAACUGCCUGAUGGAGGGGGAUAACUACUGGAAACGGUAGCUAAUACCGCAUAACGUCGCAAGACCAAAGAGGGGGACCUUCGGGCCUCUUGCCAUCGGAUGUGCCCAGAUGGGAUUAGCUAGUAGGUGGGGUAACGGCUCACCUAGGCGACGAUCCCUAGCUGGUCUGAGAGGAUGACCAGCCACACUGGAACUGAGACACGGUCCAGACUCCUACGGGAGGCAGCAGUGGGGAAUAUUGCACAAUGGGCGCAAGCCUGAUGCAGCCAUGCCGCGUGUAUGAAGAAGGCCUUCGGGUUGUAAAGUACUUUCAGCGGGGAGGAAGGGAGUAAAGUUAAUACCUUUGCUCAUUGACGUUACCCGCAGAAGAAGCACCGGCUAACUCCGUGCCAGCAGCCGCGGUAAUACGGAGGGUGCAAGCGUUAAUCGGAAUUACUGGGCGUAAAGCGCACGCAGGCGGUUUGUUAAGUCAGAUGUGAAAUCCCCGGGCUCAACCUGGGAACUGCAUCUGAUACUGGCAAGCUUGAGUCUCAUAGAGGGGGGUAGAAUUCCAGGUGUAGCGGUGAAAUGCGUAGAGAUCUGGAGGAAUACCGGUGGCGAAGGCGGCCCCCUGGACGAAGACUGACG